rnacentral:rRNA from 1 species
CAGCAGCCGCGGGAAUACGGAGGGAGCUAGCGUUGUUCGGAAUUACUGGGCGUAAAGCGCGCGUAGGCGGUUACUCAAGUCAGAGGUGAAAGCCCGGGGCUCAACCCCGGAACUGCCUUUGAAACUAGGUGACUAGAAUCUUGGAGAGGUCAGUGGAAUUCCGAGUGUAGAGGUGAAAUUCGUAGAUAUUCGGAAGAACACCAGUGGCGAAGGCGACUGACUGGACAAGUAUUGACGCUGAGGUGCGAAAGCGUGGGGAGCAAACAGGAUUAGAUACCCCAGUAGUCCCUGUCUCUUAUAA